rnacentral:lncRNA from 1 species
ACCAGGGAUUAAUCUGGAACCUUCGAUGACUCAUGUAUAAAAGCCAACGCGUUUCGCCGCUGAUCAGACUUCGACAAUCGCUGACUGUGUUCACCACUAUCGUCGUGCUUCGAAGGUCACUUGCUUUUGUGGGCACUGGUUCGCCCAAUAAAGAAUCAGUUUUGU